GGACUGAAAUGUGUCCUCUCCCCAGAGUCACAGGAUUAUGAAGCCAUAAUCCUCAAUGUGACUAUAUUUGGAGCAGGGGCCUUUACAGACAUAAUUAAAUUAAAUGAGGUCAUAAGAGUGGGGCCCUAGUCUGAUAGGACUGGUGUCCUUACAAGAAGAGGGAGAGUCCUCAGAGAGUCCUCUCUCUCGGCAUGGACACAAAAGAAAAGCCAUGUGAGGACACAGAGAGAAGGUGGCUGUCUACGAGCUAGGAAGAAAGGCCUCACCGGAAACCAACCCUCACAGCAGCUCCAUCUUGGACUUCCAGCCUCCGGAACUAGCUCACCAGCCUGAGGUAGGAAUCAUUCCAUCUGUGUUACUAAUGAGACCGCUGAGGAUCAAAGGGGUUUUCCACCACAUCCACUCACCUCUACAUGGCGAAAACCAAGGGUUCACUCUCUGUCUUCAGGGAGCUCCACCCAGCAGCAGCGUUUGACAGAGCUGUUCACUUCCUCUUCCUGGAGCUGUGGCUUCCAGAGCCCAUGCUCAGCAGUUCCCCUCCUUCUUCGACUGCUCCUCUCUUAGGCUCAAAACCUGUAACAAUGCAUGGCACACGGAAGAUGUGAGAAUUUGCUGAAUAACUGAAUGGCACCAUGUUGCCUCACCUAAGGAUAAUGACUAAGAAUAGGAAAAAUUUACUGUGCAAAGAUCAGUUCUUAAUAGCUGUCUACAUCUCAGAACAAAAAAAAUUAGAUGUAAACCAUUGCACAAAGGAUUAGAUGAAAUUUUUUUGAAAAAUCAGACAUUGGAGGCUCAGAGCCACUCAGACAUUGGGAAGCAAGUUUGUCAAGAUGACAGAGAACCGAGGUAAUGGAUUCGAGUGAUGAAACAGGAAGUUCAUUCAUGAGUUUUUGGCCACACCUCCAAAGUGACGACUUAGCCAGAAAUGGGAUAACUGGGUUUCCCUACUUCUCUUUUAUCAUCCUCAAUGAGAGUGACCAAAUAUUAGAGCUAGAUGGAACCUUAGUGAAAAUCUGGCUACUCGUCCCGUCCCACCAGCCUGCCACCCAUUUCAAGUUUGAAGAGACAAAGACACAUGGACCUUAUGUAAUUACUGGGGAUUACCCCAGGAGUCUGUGGCAAAAGUCAGCUUCUUCCCUCCCUGCUUCCCCGCCCUGUCUCUGGUACUUUCUACCAACACUGGGCUGUUUCUGUGAUCACACUUAAGCGUACCUAACCUGCGAAUGCUGUAUAGAAGGUGCUAAUGAACAUGAUUUAGCUUUAACACUCAGUUUUCUAAAGGGACACGUGGGGGCAGCAAAUGUUUAGGCAAAAACAAUUCCAGUUCUAGCCUCUACUGUCUACAUAUGUGUAUACAUUUGGGAAACGUUUGGGAAAGGGAUAUUUGAGAGCUUCUUUUUCUUUUUUGUGGUUUAGUUAUUUGAUGAUAUUGAGAUUGUUUCUGAGCCAUGUGCUUCAACAUCGGAUUGGGGAUUUCAGAAAAAGUUUUAGUCACUGUGAUUCCAUUUAGCUUCCAAAUGUGUCUCUGCUAAGAGACUUAAAAGCACUCAUAAAUAGCACGUGUGUCUUCUUUGCAGUGUUUGCUAAUUUUGAGUCACAUCUUUUUAGAAAAUCAUGAGAUUUGGUGUCACAGAGACUGGAAUAAAUAUAGUCAAACUUAUUGGUGAAGAUUUCCUUUAGCUGUUUUCAUAAUCCAUUUCCAUUGUUAUGAUUAUUGAUGAAUAAAACAUUUUCUUUAGGUAGAUACUUCUUUUUUCCCCCCACCUUGAUUUAAUGUUUCCACUCUUAUUGUCAAGUUUCUUAUUACUCCCUAAUAACUCUCAAUAAAAUAAUGAUUCCUGGGAGAUUAUUCCUGCUUUCCUACUAUCACCUGUUGAUUUGAAAAGACAGAACAAUACCGUAGAAGCUUCACUAAUACAUUGAAAGAUAAAAUGAUAAUACUAAAUACUAAAAUAUGAAAAGUGAUACUAAAAGUGGAGUCCUGGCACUAGUAUUUUUUUUUUUGAGUCUUUAAAUUUUAUUUAUUUAUUUUUGAAUUUUUUAAAAUUAUAUGUUAUGUUCUGGGAUACAUGUGCAGAACGUGCAGGUUUGUUACAUAGGUAUACAGGUCUGGCACUAGUAUUUUGUUGCCACAAAAUAUCAAGCAUGUAUCCAAACUGCUCAAGACACAUUAAAGACACAGGUAAUCUGUAGGCAUAUUCAGGCUUGUAGUUUGCAUUUUUUGGUUUUCUUGUGGCUUUCAGUGCAAGUUGAGGUAAUUCAUGGGAAACAGUCACCAAAGAAGUGCCAGUAUUAGAAAUCCAAGAGCCAUUUCUCUAGCUUCUUCCAGAAUCAAGACUUUAGAGGUAAUUUCUAUCAACACUGGACAUUUCCUGUCUGCAAUUAACAAUGAACACAUAGCAUUAUGUUUAAUUGCAACCUGUUUAAAGCAGAUUGGAUGCUAAGGUUUAAGAACACUCUUCAGUCAAAAAGGUCUUUUAAUCAGGUUUUUAAUCUUGAGCACAAUCUAGGACACAGCAUCAUAGACUAACUCAUUCGAGAAUAGGUGUUGUCAUCUAAUCCUAACCACCCCCACCACCAACAAGCUGAAUAGCUCUGGGCUCAGUAUAUACAUUUGUACUGGGCUCAGUACACACACCUAAGCUGGGUUCAGUAUAUGCCACUUUAUAGUGAGAGGCAUUUUGUAAUGAGAGCUCUGGGUUCACUAUAUACAUUUGUACUGGGCUCAGUACACACAUCUAAGCUGGGUUCAGUAUAUGCCACUUUAUAGUGAGGGCCAUUUUGUAAUGAGAGCUCUAAGGCUCUAAAAUUCUGUGUUUCUGCUAGUUUCUUCCUCAAGAUAAAACUGUGGAACUCAUAGUGAAUUCCCUCUCUUUGGGCAGUUUGAGCCAGGCCGCUAUUUAAUCACAACAUCACAAGUCAGAUUUUUCCUACCUAGUGUUGGCAGUGGAACACACCAGAACUGCUAAGGCCAAGGAAAUCCCAUUUUUUGAAGAGGCUUUCCUUUGUUAGCUUCUCUUUCUAGUAGUAAAGGUAAAAGAAAAAUAGAUGUUAAAGAUAUAAAUAUCUUAGGGGGUUUUUAUUGGUAUAAAUAUUUGUACACAAAAAGAAUAUGUAAUGUAAACUGGAUAUGUAUUUUUUACAUUUUACUUAACCUGAAUUUUACACAAUCUUUGCUUGAAUGCUCC
rnacentral:lncRNA from 1 species